rnacentral:rRNA from 1 species
GACGAACGCUGGCGGCGUGCUUAACACAUGCAAGUCGAGCGGAAAGGCCCCUUCGGGGGUACUCGAGCGGCGAACGGGUGAGUAACACGUGGGUAAUCAACCCCUGACAUCGGGAUACCCCGGGGAAACCCGGAUCAAUACCGGAUAAGGUGCGGAGGCGCAGGCCGCCGUACCAAAGGUAGCUUCGGCUUCCGGUCAGGGACGAGCCCGCGGCCCAUUAGCUUGUUGGUGGGGUAAUGGCCCACCAAGGCGACGAUGGGUAGCUGGUCUGAGAGGACGAUCAGCCACACUGGGACUGAGACACGGCCCAGACUCCUACGGGAGGCAGCAGUGGGGAAUCUUGCGCAAUGGGCGGAAGCCUGACGCAGCAACGCCGCGUGCGGGAAGAAGGCCUUAGGGUCGUAAACCGCUUUCAGGGGGGACGAAGCUUCCGGGGUGAAUAGCCUACGGGGUGACGGUACUCCCAGAAGAAGGUCCGGCUAACUACGUGCCAGCCGCCGCGGUAA